AAGAAACAGGCAAGGAGAGAGAAAGCAAUUGAAGGGUGAAGAGCAGAGAACUAUGAAGAUGAUUCAGGAAGAGGCACAUGGAGACUAGAGAUGAGGACCCUAAGACCUAGAGAAACUAAGUCAUUUGCUCAAGAAGACAAAGAAUCUCAAAGAUUUCUGUGGUACCUGGAGGGGACGAGCUGCUGAAGUCCAGUAUAUCCCGGCUGCUACUGAUUCCUGAUGGCUGUUGCCUACUCUGGUCCUUUCGAAGUUUCCUGACUCGCUGUGUCCCUACCCGUGAAUGAAGUCUGCAGCCCACCAUUACAGCCCAUGUUCUGAAACAACCUGCCACUGAGCUCUGUGACCUCCAGCCACACAGAGCUGCCUGCUGGUUCCUCCAUCUAUGGCCUAUGUUCACAUGGUACAGUAUGCACCUCUUUGCACUUUAUGCUGCCACUAGUCACUUAACCAUCUGUUACCCGCUUGGACUGUGAACUCCCAAAGGCAGAAACCAUAAUUAUUCAUCUUAGUGGUUCCUAGCAUGUGGCACAACAUCUGCAUAAUGUAUGUGCUUGAUUAGUGUUAAUUGAAUGAAAGUAAACUACUUUUAUUUUCAGUGGCCUUCUAAUUAUGUAAAGCAGUAUAAUUCUAAUGAAUACUAGAGUCCUAAAUGUAACAUAACAGUGUAUCUCUGUGUUUCAGACAUUUUUAAAAAAGAAGUGAAUUUUAGUGAAGUACGUAUUUUCUAAUUAUGUAAACAUAAAAUGUCCUCAAAUUACUCCAAUUUUCUCAUGCUCUUUUAUGUGAGUAUGUAGGAAAAUGGGGCCUCCUGUUAUUAUCUGUCCUGUUUGGUUUUAAUUAGCGUUGUUAACAUAUAACAAAACACGCAAACAUAGGAACAUCUAGAUGACUAUAGCUUUCAUUUUUUAUUCCCAUAUUUCGAGGCACAUAGAUGUAGCCACUUGGUACUUAAAUAUUUCUUUACAAAACAUCAACAGACAGGAAAAAAAUGUAAAUAGAAAUGCUAGUAAUUUUAAUGAGAGCUAGCUCUAAAAAUCCAAGAUUAACUCCAUCUCAAAUACCAUAAAUAAAUACUUAUUUUUCUGGACCAAUGCUUAUCUGGAGCCAGCAUCAAACACACAGCUAUGACAGAUGUCUUAGGACAUUUUCCUGAGUAAUAAAUAAAAAAACAAAUAUAAUGAAGGACAAAUACUAACCCUAUGAUUGCUUUCUUCUGCCCUUCACUUGACCAGUUCUAUGUACUAUGUUAUCUUCUGUAAUAUCCAUGCACAGAUUACACAUGCUAUUGAGAGGUGACAGUGUGCUGGCAGCCCUUGCUUGCUCUGGGCACCUCCUCAGGCCAUGGCGCCACUCUGGCUGUGCUUGAGGAGACCUUCAGCCCCCCGCUGCACUAUGGGAGCCCCUCUCUGGGCUGGCCUAGGCCGGAGCCGGCUCCCUCUGUUUGUGGGGAGGUGUGGAGGGAGAAGCGCCGGCGGGAAUUGGGGCUGUGCAUGCACUCGCAGCCCAAUGUGAGUUCCGGGUGAGAGUGGGCUUGGUGGGCCCCACACUCAGAGUGGCCAGCUGGUGCUGCCGGCCCCGGGCAGUGAGGGGCUUAGCACUCGGGCCAGCAGCUGCAGAGGGAGUGCUGGGUCCCCCAGCACUGCCAGCCCGCCCGCCCGCUCCACACUCGAAUUUUCAUGGGGCCUCAGCUGCCCCCCUCAAUGGGCUCCCGCCAGGCCCCAGCCUCCCUGACGGGUGCUGCCCCCUGCUCCACGCACCUGGUCAUAUCCACCGCCCAAUGGUGGAGUGCAGGCAGGUGGCACAGGACUGGUGGGCAGCUCCGCCUGUGGCCCCAGCGCGGGAUCCACUAGGCGAAGCCAGCCGGGCUCCUCAGUCAGUUAGAGACUUGGAGAACUUUUAUAUCUAGCUGGAAGAUUGUAUAUGCACCAAUCAGCACUCUGUGUCUAGCUCAGGGAUUGUAAAUGCACCAAUCAGCACUCUGUGUCUAGCUCAAGGUUUGUAAAUGCACCAAUCAGUGCUCUGUGUCUAGCUAAUCUAGUGGGGACUUGGAGAACUUUUGUGUCUAGCUAAAGGAUUAUAAACGCACCAAUCAGCACUCUGUGUCUAGCUCAGGGAUUGUAAAUACACCAAUCAGCACCCUGUGUCUAGCUCAAGGUUUGUAAACACACCAAUCAGCACCCUGUGUCUAGCUCAAGGUUUGUAAACGCACCAGUUGGUGCUUUGUGUCUAGCUAAUCUACUGGGGACUUGGAAAAGUUUUGUGUCUAGCUAAAGGAUUGUAAACGCACCAAUCAGCACUCUGUGUCUAGCUCGGGGAUUGUAAAUACACCAAUCAGCACUCUGUAUCUAGCUCAAGGUUUGUAAAUGCACCAAUCAGAACCCUGUGUCUAGCUGAAGGUUUGUAAAUGCACCAAUCAGUGAUCUGUGUCUAGUUAAUCUAGUGGGGACUUGGAGAACUUUUACGUCUAGCGAGAUGAUUGUAAAUACACCAAUCAGCACUCUGUGUCUAGCUCAGGCAUUGUAAACACACCAAUCAGCACCCUGUCAAAACGGACGAAUCAGCUCUCUGUAAAAUGGACCAAUCAGCUGUCUGUAAAACGGAACAAUCAGAUCUCUGUAAAAUGGGCCAAUCAGCAGGAUGUGGGUGGGGUUAGAUAAGGGAAUAAUAGCAGGCUGCCCAGGCCCGCAGUGGCAAACCCCUGGGUCCUCUUCCACAUAGUGGAAGGUUUGUUCUUUCACUCUUUGUAAUAAAUCUUGCUGCUGCUCGUUCUUUGGGUCUGUACUGUCUUUAUGAGCUGUAAAUAACACUGCAAAGGUCUGCAGCUUCACUCCUGAGGCCAGCGAGACCACGAACCCAGCGAGAGGAAUGAGUUGAAUGAGUAACUCCAAACGGGAGGAAUGAACAACUCCAGAUGCGCUGCCUUAAGAGCUGUAACACUCACUGCAAAGGUCUGCAGCUUCACUCCUGAAGCCAGUGAGACCACGAACCCACCAGAAGGAAGAAACUCUGAACACGUCCAAACAUCAGAAGGAGCAAACUCCGGACACACCAUCUUUAAGAACUGUAACACUCACCGCGAGGGUUUGCGGCUUCAUUCUUGAAGUCAGUGAGACCAAGAACCCACCAAUUCCGGACACAGUCAUGUACUAAAGAACUAUGAUACAUUUUUGAAAUAUUGUUGAUAAUCCUAGCUAAAUUUUUAGACAAGAAAACAAGCUCAGGAUGGCAAGCAAUUUCAUAGAUCUCAAAAAGUUCCUGUUGAAGUGAAAAACUAUUAUUUUGGAAUCUGUUGAUUGUUGUAUAAAGCCUCAAUCCAUUUCUGAAUAUUAAUGAAUUUUUAAUAAAGUCAUAAUUGUCUUUGUUCCAA